UUGAAUUUAGUUACUUGAUCUCUGGAUUUUGACGGAUUCACUCUAGAUUUGUCAAUUGGGAUUUAUUUUUCUGAAUGAUGUUUGUUAAUCAAAAGACUGAGUUGAUUUUCACUAUUGUUUGAUUUUUUUUUGAAAUGUCUUUGAUGUUGAGAAGUUUGGUUAAUUCUUCAUCUCCUUUUCAGGUUAAGAUCCUUCACUGGCUAAAUCAUCUCCUUAAAUCUUCCAUGAAGAUGAUAAUCAGAGCUUAGCUCUUUCCUACAUCGGCUCUUCAACACAGGUCAAGAACUGUUCAUGUGAUAGAAGAGGGACCACGCGAGCAAAGGAAUCAGUUGUUUUCUGUUUUAGGGUCUCUCACUGAUCCAGAAGAAGAAGAAUCAAAGGAAUCCUCAGAGGACAGGUUGCUUCUGUAGAUAUUAAAC